rnacentral:tRNA from 1 species
GCCCGAUUAGCUCAGCUGGUUAGAGCGUCGUACUAAUAGAUAUCCUAUCUAUCAAGUAAUGCGAAGGUCAACAGUUCAAUCCUGUUAUUGGGCA